UACGAAGGGGGCUAGCGUUGCUCGGAAUCACUGGGCGUAAAGGGUGCGUAGGCGGGUCUUUAAGUCAGGGGUGAAAUCCUGGAGCUCAACUCCAGAACUGCCUUUGAUACUGAGGAUCUUGAGUACGGGAGAGGUGAGUGGAACUGCGAGUGUAGAGGUGAAAUUCGUAGAUAUUCGCAAGAACACCAGUGGCGAAGGCGGCUCACUGGUCCGGUACUGACGCUGAUGAGCGAAAGCCAGGGGAGCAAAGCGGGAUUAAGAAACCCGG
rnacentral:rRNA from 1 species